UAGGGAAUCUUCCACAAUGGGCGAAAGCCUGAUGGAGCAACGCCGCGUGUGUGAUGAAGGGUUUCGGCUCGUAAAACUCUGUUGUUAAAGAAGAACAUAUCUGAGAGUAACUGUUCAGGUAUUGACGGUAUUUAACCAGAAAGCCACGGCUAACUACGUGUCAG
rnacentral:rRNA from 1 species